rnacentral:rRNA from 1 species
UACGGAGGGAGCUAGCGUUGUUCGGAUAUACUGGGCGUAAAGCGCACGUAGGCGGCGCAGCAAGUCAGGGGUGAAAUCCCGGAGCUCAACUCCGGAACUGCCUUUGAAACUGCAGUGCUAGAAUCCUGGAGAGGCGAGUGGAAUUCCGAGUGUAGAGGUGAAAUUCGUAGAUAUUCGGAGGAACACCAGUGGCGAAGGCGGCUGCCUGGGCCUGGCCUGACGCUGAGGCGCGAAAGCGUGGGGAGCGAUCCGG